rnacentral:tRNA from 1 species
GGUCGGUUAGCUCAGUUGGUUAGAGCGUACGGCUUACAUCCGUAAGGUCGGGGGUUCAAAUCCCUCACCGACCA